rnacentral:rRNA from 1 species
UACAGAGGUCCCAAGCGUUGUUCGGAUUCAUUGGGCGUAAAGGGUGCGUAGGUGGCGUCGUAAGUCGGGUGUGAAAUCUCGGGGCUUAACUCCGAAACUGCAUUCGAUACUGCGGUGCUUGAGGACUGGAGAGGAGACUGGAAUUUACGGUGUAGCAGUGAAAUGCGUAGAGAUCGUAAGGAAGACCAGUGGCGAAGGCGGUCUGCUGGGCCGUUGCUGACGCUGAGGCGCGACAGCGUGGGGAGCAAACAGG